rnacentral:rRNA from 1 species
AUUGAACGCUGGCGGCAUGCCUUACACAUGCCAGUCGAACGGUAACAGGUCUUCGGAUGCUGACGAGUGGCGAACGGGUGAGUAAUACAUCGGAACGUGCCCAGACGUGGGGGAUAACGAGGCGAAAGCUUUGCUAAUACCGCAUACGAUCUAAGGAUGAUAGCAGGGGACCGCAAGGCCUUGUGCGUUUGGAGCGGCCGAUGGCAGAUUAGGUAGUUGGUGGGAUAAAAGCUUACCAAGCCGACGAUCUGUAGCUGGUCUGAGAGGACGACCAGCCACACUGGGACUGAGACACGGCCCAGACUCCUACGGGAGGCAGCAGUGGGGAAUUUUGGACAAUGGGCGAAAGCCUGAUCCAGCAAUGCCGCGUGCAGGAUGAAGGCCUUCGGGUUGUAAACUGCUUUUGUACGGAACGAAAAGGCUCUGGCUAAUACCUGGGGCACAUGACGGUACCGUAAGAAUAAGCACCGGCUAACUACGUG